rnacentral:ncRNA from 1 species
GCGAGUCAUCAGCUUGCGUUGACUACAUCCUUGCCCUUUGUAGACACUGCCCAUCGCUUCUACCGAUUGAAUGAUCCAAUGAAAUAUUUGGAUCGUGGAAACGCGGGUGGUUUUCUGCCCACGACGUCGUAAAAAGUCCAUUAAAUCUUAUCAUUUAGAGGAAGGAGAAGUCAUAACAAGGUUUUUGUAGGUGAACCUGUGGAAGGAUCAUUG